AUACUUAAAUGGCAGGGGAAAUACCACAAUCAAGAGGGUGAUUUCGCCAGGAUGAAGCUCUUCCAUUGUAAUCUUUGGUUGGGUGGACUUCUGUGAUUUCCCCAAAUGUGGGAAACUCAACUGCAUAAUUUAUGAUAGUGGGGGACCACGUUCAUGUGGUCUUCUA